rnacentral:rRNA from 1 species
AGCUCCAAGAGCGUAUAUUCAAUUUGCUGCAGUUAAAAAGCUCGUAGUUGGGUGGGGGAGGAAGAUGAAGAGGGAGAAGGGGAACCGGAUCCUGAAUUGUUUUCUUCUAUUUUAAUGGAGAGUAGUCUUGUAGGUGCUCUUAACUGGGCGCUUACAACGACCUCUCCCGUUGACCGUGCUUAAAUUCGCGUGUUCAAAGCAAGCACAUUUAUCUGCUUGAAGAGUCUAGCAUGGGAUCAUAAAAUAUGGACUUGGUCGAGAUUUUUCUUCUCAUCUCCCAAGUCAAUGACAAAUAGGGGCAAGCGGGGGCAGAGGGAUUCCAUCGUUAGAGGUGAAAUUCUUAGACCGAUGGAGGACCAACAGAAGCCAAAGCGUCUGUCAAGGGUGUGCCCA